rnacentral:lncRNA from 1 species
GAUUUUUGCCACCGAAGUUUGACCCGCCUUAAAGGUUUGACCGCCUCGGACCGCCUCAAACCGCCUCACAGGCAAAAAACCGAUUUUUCAAACCUUUACACUAAAAUCGUAAAGGUUUCGGAACGCCUCCGCCUCGGCGACCGAUUAAUCGGCCGCCUCGGCCGAUUUUUAGAACACUGUCUAAAACACAGAUCCGACUAUUGACGUUUUACUCGACUAUACAAUUUUCUUAUAUGUAUCAAUAGGGGAUAUCACUUGCUCACCCGCGUUUAGCAGCAUAAUGUCAUCUGCCAUUUUCGAUGCUUCGAUGACUGCAACAUUUUACUGAGUAUGUUAGAUAAGCAAAUAUAUACAGAUUAUCCGAAAAAAAAUCUCAAAUAGACUAUCACGUCGCAGUUAAACAUAAACAUAGUAAUGGGUGACCUUUUUUUGUGGUUGUCCUGCCCAUCAAAAGUUGAAAAAUCAGCGAUUGAUUGCUCGAAUUUGGUAUGCGAUUAUAACAGAUCUGCAAUUAUACAAACGUGAUAGUCGAUUUAGCCAAAACAUAUCAACAAAUCCAUGGACGAUAUCGAUGCAACUAGCGGCGAAGACGUACUUAUGGGUUUAUGCUUGCUCGGAGUGCACAUAGUCGUCGUUUUGAUACA